rnacentral:rRNA from 1 species
UACGGGGGGAGCAAGCGUUGUUCGGAUUUACUGGGCGUAAAGGGCGCGUAGGCGGCCACCGCAAGUCAGUUGUGAAAUCUCCGAGCUUAACUCGGAAAGGUCAACUGAUACUGCGGGGCUAGAGUGCGGAAGGGGCAACUGGAAUUCUUGGUGUAGCGGUGAAAUGCGUAGAUAUCAAGAGGAACACCAAUAGCGAAGGCAGCUCGCUGGGACGUUACUGACACUGAGGCGCGAAAGCGUGGGGAGCGAACAGG